UACAGAGGCCUCGAGCGUUAGGCGGAAUCACUGGGCUUAAAGCGUGUGUAGGCGGCCCCCUAAGUACCUUGUGAAAUCCCACGGCUCACCCGUGGAACGGCUGGGUAUACUGGGGGUCUUGAGCCACCUAGGGGCGAGUGGAACAAAUGGUGGAGCGGUGAAAUGCGUAGAUAUCGGGAGGAACACCAGUGGCGAAGGCGAUCACCUGGGGUUGUUCUGACGCUGAGGAGCGAAAGCUAGGGGAGCAAACGGG
rnacentral:rRNA from 1 species